AGUAGGAUAGCUUGGUCAAAUGGGAUUCCAUUCCAAGUUUUCUAAGGAAUCUCCAUACUGCUUUCCAGAAUGGUUGCACCAAUUUGCAGUCCCACCAGCAAU
rnacentral:pre_miRNA from 1 species